UUGAAUUCAUGAACUGUGAGAUCAUGACCUGAGCAGAAAUCAAGAGUUGGGUGCUUAACUGACUGAGCCACCUAAGUGCCCCAGUCAUAGUCUUAAGUGUUCUAUAAAUGUCCAUCACCAUCUCCAGGCUUCCAUUAUCCAUAUACUUCUCAAUGUCAGAAAGAGAGCAGUUUUCCACUAUGUUUCUAUAGCAUUUCCUCAAAAGGACUCUGAAUAGCCAUGCUAGUUUCAUGGGGCCAGCUCUGACCUAAUGUUUGUCCAGGGAAGUGGGGUUCUUUGACCAACCAGUGUGGGAGGCAAAAGAGGCAGGAGAUGAUAAUGGUCAGCUCCAGAGGAAUUCUGUCAGGAAGGAUGGCUUCCAAAUGGUGGACAGAGUAACAUAUCUGAUAAAACUUAAUGUGUGAUCUCAUACAGAACUAACAUCUGAAUGUCUUCACUUUUCACUCACUGAGAGUAUUUUGUCAUAGGCAUAGCUUCCUUUUCCUGGAUAUCUCUUUUCCUGCUGUAGAAUGCAUUGGUCACUCUUCUGAAGGACAUAGAUUCUGCUUUGCCAUACUAUUGUAAAUGAUCCCAAGGGAUGUCGGAUGUAUGGAAUACAAAGAAGGAAAUGAGAAUUGUUGCCAGCAUUUCACUGACUUUGCUAGAGUUCCCCGACCUCAAGUUUUUUCUGUCUCUUGUGUGGCAUCUGAAAGACUGUUCAAUCCUACUAACGGUACUCAGGGUGUAACAGAUACUGCAUUCUAUAUGGAAAUCAAAACUCCUACACAGUUCCUGAUGUAGAUGGACCCAUCUUCCCUGUGUUAUUUUCAAGAUUAACUUCAUAAUCACUUGAUUUUUGUCUUUGACCUCUAUGUUGCUUACAAAAUUCUGACUGUAAGCUGUAUAUUUGAAAUAAACAGUAUUAACACAGA